GGGGUCCUAGCUCAGCUGGGAGAGCAUCUGCCUUACAAGCAGAGGGUCAUAGGUUCGAGCCCUAUAGGCCCCA
rnacentral:tRNA from 2 species